GAAAUGCGAUAAGUAAUGUGAAUUGCAGAAUUCAGUGAAUCAUCGAAUCUUUGGACGCACCUUGCGCUCCUUGGUAUUCCUUGGAGCAUGCCUGUUUGAGUAUCAUGAAAUCUUCAAAGUAAAUCUUUUGUUAACUCAAUUGGUUUCUACUUUGGUAUUGGAGGUCUUUGCAGCUUCACACCUGCUCCUCUUUGUUCAUUAGCUGGAUCUCAGUGUUAUGCUUGGUUCCACUCGGCGUGAUAAGUUAUCUAUCGCUGAGGACACUGUAAAAGGUGGCCAAGGUAAAUGCAGAUGAACCGCUUCUAAUACUCCAUUGACUUGGACAAUACUUUUAUGAUCCGAUCUCAAAUCAGGUAGGACUACCCGCUGAACUUAAGC
rnacentral:misc_RNA from 1 species